GGGGAUAUUGCACAAUGGGGGAAACCCUGAUGCAGCGACGCCGCGUGAGGGAAGACGGUUUUCGGAUUGUAAACCUCUGUCUUUGGGGACGAAUUGAGACGGUACCCAAGGAGGAAGCUCCGGCUAACUACGUGCCAGCAGCCGCGGUAAUACGUAGGGAGCAAGCGUUGUCCGGAAUUACUGGGUGUAAAGGGAGCGUAGGCGGGAUAGUAAGUUGAUUGUUAAAACUAUCGGCUCAACUGAUAGAUGCGAUCAAAACUGCAAUUCUUGAGUGAAGUAGAGGCAGGCGGAAUUCCUAGUGUAGCGGUGAAAUGCGUAGAUAUUAGGAGGAACACCAGUGGCGAAGGCGGCCUGCUGGGCUUUAACUGACGCUGAGGCUCGAAAGUGUGGGUAGCAAACAGG
rnacentral:rRNA from 1 species